UAGGGAAUUUUCGUCAAUGGGGCGCAAGCCUGAACGAGGACCAAUGCCGCGUGAACGAGGAAGGUCUUCGGAUCGUAAAGUUCUGUUGAGAGGGAAAAAGGGUCACCAGAGUAAAUGCUGGUGAAGUGAUAUUACCUUCGAGGAAGUCACGGCUAACUACGUGCC
rnacentral:rRNA from 1 species